UAUAUAAAUAUAUUCAUUGUAGUUUGCUGCUUGUGUGUUUUUGUUUCUAAAGAUUCCUCCAUGUCAGUGAUCAGGACUGUCUGCCCUGUAAUCUUGCCUGCAGUUUCUCAGCCUUAUCCAGCUGUGACCGUGUAUAGGAUAAGUGGUAGUGAUUGAUGUUGAUAACAACCAAUCAGGGGCCAGUGCUGCCUAUUUUAGAGCCGGUUGGCUGUGUUAGGUGAUGUGUCACCUCCAGCCCCGCCUUUCUUGUUCCGCGUUUGUUGACAUCUGUUUCAGCCUGGUUUUUCGUUGGUUUUCCUGUUGGUUGCCAUGGAGUUAAUGACUGCCACCCAUUCAGCUCGCUUGUAGCAUAAAUGGAGAUGACUAAUUCGUAAUACAUGAGUGUACUACUCCCGGCUUGGAUUCUCCCUCUCUGUCCUGGGCGAUUUAUAAAUAAAGAUCUAGCAUCUGUAACAUUACUCCGGUUGUGUUUGAAAGAUUCUGCUAUCCUGAGAUCUCUAGGGGAAAGAACUACUCCUGUUGUUUACUACUGCUGCCUGCUUCUACUAUCUGCUGCUGCUACAUUUACUGCUGCAGUUACUACUAGCUGCUACUGCUACCCGCUACUACUAUCUGCUGCUGCUACAUUUACUGCUGCAGUUACUACUAGCUGCUACUGCUAUCCGCUAACUAUCUGCUUGCUGCUACUCUACUGUUGCAGUUACUGCUAACUGCUACGACUAACUGUUACCUGCUCUAUUUAUUGCUGUUGUUACUACGACCUGCUACUACUAUCUCCUAUUGCUACUGUUAUAUAAUUUGUGAUUUUUGUUCUGUUUGGUUGUGUGAUUCGGUGUGCAAAAGAGUGAGUUUUGUGUUCUGUGUGAAUCUUGCUUUUCUAUAGCGAAACUACAGAAGCUGUAUUUGGUUUUUCUUUUCUUGUGUUUGGUUUGUUGUUUGUUUUACUCUUGUAUAAUUUAUCCCGUAUAUUGAUUUUGAUUUUCCUUGCAGGAACUGAGGUCCCAUGGGUGCAGGAUCUUGAGGUGGUGGUGGUGUCACUGCACUUGACAUUUUUGCUGUGGACGGUUUGGGAAGUGUGGAGUGUGUGGAUCUAGUGUGGUGUGUGUGUGUGGAAGUGUGCUUUUUGAACACAACGGAGCACUGGUGAUUCCCCCCCCCCCAUGUGUGACCUCAGCCCUGUAAGUUAGUUUAUUCAAUUUAUUUCCCCGGUUAAUUUCAUUUUCAUAUUUACU